rnacentral:rRNA from 1 species
GAUGAACGCUGGCGGCGUGCUUAACACAUGCAAGUCGAACGGAAAGGCCCAAGCUUGCUUGGGUACUCGAGUGGCGAACGGGUGAGUAACACGUGGGUGAUCUGCCCUGCACUUCGGGAUAAGCCUGGGAAACUGGGUCUAAUACAGGAUAGGACCACUUCAUGGUUGUUGUGGUGGAAAGUUUUUUCGGUGUGGGAUGAGCUCGCGGCCUAUCAGCUUGUUGGUGGGGUAAUGGCUUACCAAGGCGUCGACGGGUAGCCGGCCUGAGAGGGUGUACGGCCGCACAGGUUCUGACAUACGGCCCAGCCUGGUACUGUUGGCAGCUGGGGGGAAUGUUGAUCGAUGGGCGCCAGCCGGGUGCAGCAAGGCCUCGUGUGGGAUGACUGCCUUCGUUUGGUAAACUACCUUCGCUAGGAACGAAGGGUUUUUUGACGGUACCUGGAGAAGAAGCACCGGCUAACUACGUG